rnacentral:lncRNA from 1 species
CUUGUGGAAGGCACUGAAGAUUUUGUAUGGAAUGAAAUGCUUCUGCUUAGACUGUCUUUGCUGUUUACCUUACGGCCUUGUGGCUCCCAUUGCCUCACCACGGGCUGUGACCAAACCCAAGAUGACCUUCUCCACAGGUGCUGGGGAAUUGUGGCUAUAGAUUGCAGGUUGUGCUCCUGUGUGAAGGCUCUGUGGUCAUCUUCCAGAGACCUGCGUCCUGUGCAGGACUCGGUCCAGUGGGAGAACAAAACGAAGAGUCUUAACAAGCUGCAGAGGAGCGCACGUACAACUCUUUCUUCUGCCGUGACACAGAUUAUUGUUUAAGGUACUUACUGCAAUCGUUGAGAACACACUUAUGGAGUCUGAUCAUCUGGUUUGGAUUCUGGUCACAGCUGUGUGACUGCAUGUGAAGGACCCCACCUCUGUGCUUCAGUCUCCUCGUCUGUGAAAUGAGACGGGAAAAAGCCCUGGAUAAUACAGUACCCCGUAAGUGUGAAGUUCCUGAGAAGACAGAAGAGGAAUCACAAAAAUGACUGAGGAUGAAUUUCCCGCCAAUCAGGCCCCCCAAAAAAUUGAGAGAGAGAGAGAGAGAAUUUACGACUAACAAACCCUCAACAAAGGACAUUCUGAAGAUUACACUUAGGAAGAAGGAAUGUGACCCCAGAUGAAAAGUCUACUACACAAAAGAAACGUUGGCAAAAAAUUGCUAUUGAAGACUUUUGAUAAUCUAAGAGUUCCUGGAAAAUCUGCAGGACUUAAAGAAGCUCCCUGAGUUAGUUUGAAAGGGCCACAGGAGGAAACAUGAAGUUAUUUUAUGAUUGCAUUCUGUUGAGUUUGUCUUUUGCUAUGCGGCAGUUGCACCUGCCCAGGACACUAUGAGGAAUGAUGAAUAAAAAACGUCCAGGC